GUGGCAGCAAUGUCCUUAUUGACUCUUAAAGUCUCGAGAAGAACAGACGCAGAUGUUCCUGCAAGACUAAUAUUCAGCUUCCAUCACCAUGAUGACCUAAUUUCCAAUGGCUGCAGUGUCUGAUACACUCUUAACAUCACAUUUGCCCUUUGUCAGAAGAUUACAGAUCAUUCCAAAUGGAGGGGCUUUCCAGCACCAAACUCAAAGACUCUCGAGAUACAGCAAAGACAGUGUGACAUCAGUUCUGAGGAACUGGCAGAAGCUGCUGUCAUGUGAUGCUGAGUCAAGAUGAGCUCAUGAAAAACAAGGCACCUGACAUGCAUACUGUCUUACUCCAGAUAUUUGAACCUUAU